AUUGAACGCUGGCGGCAGGCCUAACACAUGCAAGUCGAGCGGAUGAAGGGAGCUUGCUCCUGGAUUCAGCGGCGGACGGGUGAGUAAUGCCUAGGAAUCUGCCUGGUAGUGGGGGAUAACGUCCGGAAACGGGCGCUAAUACCGCAUACGUCCUGAGGGAGAAAGUGGGGGAUCUUCGGACCUCACGCUAUCAGAUGAGCCUAGGUCGGAUUAGCUAGUUGGUGGGGUAAAGGCCUACCAAGGCGACGAUCCGUAACUGGGCUGAGAGGAUGAUCAGUUAAACUGGAACUAGGAAACGGGCCCAACCCGUCGGGGGGGCGGAGGGGGGGAAAAUUGGACAAGGGGGGAAAGCCUAUGCCGCCCAGGCGGGGGGUGUGAGAAGGGGCUUGGGUUGUUAAACACCUUUAGGUUGGGAGAAAGGGAAGUAAGUUAAUUCCUGGUUGUUUGACCGUUCCCAACAAAAAAAGCACCGGCAAACUUGUU
rnacentral:rRNA from 1 species